rnacentral:rRNA from 1 species
GAUGAACGCUGGCGGCGUGCCUAAUACAUGCAAGUCGAACGAAGUCUUCGGACUUAGUGGCGAACGGGUGAGUAACACGUUGGUACCUACCCCGAAGUGGGGAAUAACUGCCCGAAAGGGUGGCUAAUACCGCAUAAUACCGCAAGGUUAAAGCAGUAAUGCGCUUCGGGAGGGGCCUGCGUCCCAUUAGCUAGUUGGUAGGGUAAUGGCCUACCAAGGCGACGAUGGGUAGCUGGAUCGAGAGGUUGACCAGCCACACUGGGACUGAGAUACGGCCCAGACUCCUACGGGAGGCAGCAGUAAGGAAUCUCCCACAAUGGACGAAAGUCUGAUGGAGCAACGCCGCGUGCAGGAUGACGGCCUUCGGGUUGUAAACUGCUUUUAUGCGGGAAGAUUAUGACGGUACCGUAUGAAUAAGGACCGGCUAACUACGUGCCAGCAGCCGCCGCGG